CACCCAGUGGCAAAAGCUUUAUGUACUGCUGGAAUUGAGACAACAUUAAUUCAAGACUCUGCAGUGUUCCCCAUCAUGUCACGUGUCAACAAGGUCAUCAAAGGUCAUCGUUGGCACCGAGACGGUGGUGACCAACGGAGGCAUUGAGACCUUUGUUGGUGCAGCCUCUCUUGCCUCACCACCAAAGUUUUAUUCUGUUCCACUGUAUGUGUGCACUCCCACAUACAAAUUUAGCUUGAUGGGCUGUGAAGAAAUGUGAUGCCGGAUAAGAGGGAUUUUACUGUACCCUGUUUAUCUUGCACAUCUACUCACUUAGCUUUAAAUAAUGGCUGCUGACCAUUUAAAUCUCUUUUAUUUCAGUCGAGGUACUGCACCAUCCUACGUGUACCGGCAGCUUAGCGAACUGUACCGUCCCACUUCUUGUGUAACAAGAAGGUAACAGCUUUAAUCCUUGCAAAUAAGGAAUAAGAGAAAAGAGACACACCUGCCAUUUGUACUGUUAUGCUGUAGUGUUCUGUCAUUUUUUUCCUCUUUUAUCCUAGAACCAUUUUUGGUCAUUCAUGUUUCUAAAAAUUAUUAUACAAAAAUGUUGAGCUUAAUAUGUUUGGUGUAGUUUUUUGUAACAUGUGUUAUUGUUAAUGUGUGUGGUUCCCCUCAGGAAGAAUGUUGCAGUAUUAGCAGUAAUGUUACAGCCAAUGGAAGUGUCUGUAUUGUGCUUUGGUGGGAGGUUAAUUUGAUGUAUUUUUAGAGUUGUGCAGGAUAUUAUAGCAAGCCCUCAAAAUAAAGAAAAUAACUAUAGAAAACA